CCUACGGGUGGCAGCAGUGAGGAAUAUUGGUCAAUGGACGAGAGUCUGAACCAGCCAAGUAGCGUGAAGGAUGACUGCCCUAUGGGUUGUAAACUUCUUUUAUAUGGGAAUAAAACGUUCCACGUGUGGGAUUUUGUAUGUACCAUAUGAAUAAGGAUCGGCUAACUCCGUGCCAGCAGCAGCGGUAAUACGGAGGAUCCGAGCGUUAUCCGGAUUUAUUGGGUUUAAAGGGAGCGUAGGUGGAUUGUUAAGUCAGUUGUGAAAGUUUGCGGCUCAACCGUAAAAUUGCAGUUGAAACUGGCAGUCUUGAGUACAGUAGAGGUGGGCGGAAUUCGUGGUGUAGCGGUGAAAUGCUUAGAUAUCACGAAGAACUCCGAUUGCGAAGGCAGUUCACUGGACUGCAACUGACACUGAGGCUCGAAAGUGUGGGUAUCAAACAGGAUUAGAUACCCCUGUAGUC
rnacentral:rRNA from 1 species